AUGGCUAGCAACGAUGAAGGACAGGGUUCUGGUGAUUGCGACGACGUCUACCGGGCGGCAGACGAAUUUUUUAGCCUUGCCAACAAUCAACUGAUGUUGUUUCUUGGCCCACCGGUGGCAUCGAGGACUGAGACUGACACGCAGACUGGUGCUGAGACUGAGACCGGCGCUGAGACUCAGACCAACAUCGAGACCGGCGCUGAGACUGAGGCCGGCGCUGCCUCGGGGAGCGGAGCCGGUGUAGAACCGAAAGCAAAGAGGCAACGGCUUCCUAACAAACUCAGGACUACUAGACUGGUGGUCACGGAGGUGGACGACGACAAUUUUGAGCCAAAGGCGCCCGAGGAAGCGCGUCGAUGCUACGGCAAUCAAAUAGGCUGCAUGGUAUGGACAACCGCCACCAUCAACGAUGAGAAACUAUAA
rnacentral:rRNA from 1 species